ensembl:lncRNA
AUGUAUCCACAGUAUAACUGGGGAGGUGAAAGUCAGUGCGAAAAAGUGAACUUGGUGUUUUAAGAUGCUAUUUGUUUGUGAGGUACAAAGUGCUCCCUGGGGCCUCUUACAGACAUGGUCUAGCUAGCAGUUACAGGUUAUUUUCGUGUGUUUUUAGUUCCGUGCUGCUUUUCUUAGGUGCCUGUUUCUGCCCUGGUGUCCUUUGCAGGAGCUCUGGAGGUUGGAUACAGCAAAUGCAAGAAUCCUGAUCACCACCUAAUGCGUGCUGCAGGUGUGAAGCUGAAAGUCCAUUGCCUCCUUUCCAAGACAGGUGCAGUGGCUGAAGAAACCAGGGUCCUCAGCUGCUCCUCGUACAUCUUGCCCUCUCGACCCUUCUCCGUCUUCAUAGUGCUGCCCUGGAUGUGUGUCCUCCUCAUAUUGUGAUGCCCACAUCACAUCAAUGCUGGCUACAGAAGACAGAGGGUGGUAGUUCCAAAAAGUCAUCUCCUACACAUAACAUCUUUGCUGCUUCAUUCUGAGUGUCAUCACUGAGCAGCGCCGAAUAGAACUUCUUCCCUGGUCAGCUGGCUGCCUUAGUUGGAGCCCUGAUGGCAGUGAUGUGAUGACGGCAGGCUUAGUAUUGCUGUUCUCUGCUCACCAGGGUAUGCUUUGGAAGAAAGCGGUUUGUUGGGGUUUUCUUUGUUUCUUGUUUGUUUUUAUUUAAUUCCUAUGAAACGUAUAUAUGCCACAUAUAUGUACAUGUUUUGAAUAUUAUCAUUUGAAGUGCCAAGAUUUUUUUAGAAAAGUCGUUAUACUCAAUUAAGGAGGUGUAGUAAAGAUGUUAAAGAG